UUCCCUUUUUUUUUCUUAUUUCUUUUUAUUUCCCUUUCCCUCUCUCAGUUAACCCUCAUGUCAUCGAGACGUCCCCCCAAAUCUUCAUCUUCUUCGUCCGCCGCCCAACCCCUUCACGCUGCUCACUGCCCUUCGCUGCUGCCGCUGAUCGUCAAACCCGCGUCAUCAGUUUCAUCAACGACAGCUUUCAUCACAGAAAGGGACGCCCUAGUUCCAUCGUCGCAAGUUUCUUCGUCGCAUCCCUCCAGCGCUCGCACCCGAUGAUCGUCUGAUGCCUUCUUCACCGGUCAAAUCAGCGCCGUAGGUAUGUCCGUCGAGCUGCCUUCAGUCAGUUCCACCACCAAGUCCGUUCACGCCAAUUUUCGUUAUUCGUCUCAGACCCGCUAGAUCCGACAUCCAGCCAUCGUUCUGCUUGGUUUUUCCAGUCGCCGCCAUCGUGAACUCCACGAUCGGUGGGGGAUCUAGUGGAUUUGGAGGUUUGAUGGUCUUGAGAUACUGUCCAGCAGUUCGAAGGUUGUUUUGGUGUGUCAUAAGUCAUUUUCCAGCAGAUUUGAAGUUGUUUCGCAGGAUUUUAGUGAGUACAAGUUUAGUGUGUCAUAAGUCUCUUACCAUCAGCUUUGAAGUCAAUGUGACCUCAGUUUCUCUGGUAUCAACCACACUGGCGAACAUAUUCUAGGUCACUCCGACUAUUCAACAUUGUAGUAUGGUGACUGUUUGAUUGGUCUUUGUAUGAGCGUGAAACCUAAACAAUUUUUUUGCCGCAUUACAAGGUUAGUUCACAUUCAUUUCAUUAUCAAUAAACUUGAAACUUUGGAAUACUGUUUUUUCAAUUUCAAUAACUCCAGACUGUUAUUGAUGAUAUAUCCACCAAACUCAUCAGCUCUUGGUGUACUUUGGCAUUUAGGUAAUUUUUCUUUUCUGUAUUUUUCUUAAAUCUUUUCUAAUACAGUUUUAAGUUAGAAAUGGGAAGGACUACUUCUGCAGUUUUCAUUUGUAACAUAUUGAGUUAUACUGCAUUUGUUUUUGCCUUUUAUUUGGGUUUUUUGUUUACAUUUAUAGCCUCACAAAUCUCUUUGAUGAUCUCUACUUUUCUUGCCUUGGAACUCUCUCAUGGUUUGAAUUUUUCAUUUUACAUUUUCUACCAUCUCUGUACUUCAUUUCUCGAUUCAUUGAUUGCUAUGGUAUAGAUGACAUUAACGAAAUGGAUCAUUAUUCUUAUUCUACAUGUUAUUAGCCAAAUUGAGUCCUUGAAAAUAAUAUGACAACAUCCACAUGUUAGCAAUCCAAGUUCAUAAUAUAUAUAUAUAUAUAUAUAACAAACAGCAAAAGAAAAGUUCCCUUUUCUCCCGUCUGCUCUCUAUUAGUUGUUGAUUUCUAUUACAUGUAACCAUUUAAUUAUGCUUUCAACUUAAUUCAACACAUUUUUUUCUUUUAUUUAUUGCAAUUUGGCCCUCCGUGGCUUGAUUUGUCUUCUGGGUAAGCUCAAUACGAGGUUGUGAAUUAAAUUCACUCCCUUAUUAUUUUGUAUUUUGAUUCAGCAAGCAAAGUACCCAAUUGCAUUUCCCCAACUUUUAUUACUAAUUUUAUCUUCUCUACUUUAAUAAUGCAAACCUUUUUCCUUCUAUAAUUUAUGCCUCGAGCUGGAGGUCUAUGUUUAAUCAUACCAUAUAUUUUCAAUGUUUGAUUUAGCAAAUUAGAAUGAUUUGAUAGUUUAAAUGAUAUCAUGUACUUUUAAUCUAGUAUGUUAUUUGAGAAUAAUUGCAAAAUAUUGGUUGUGCUAAACAUGUAGAUGGUAUUGCUGCUUUUAAAUCAGCUCAUGAUUCUGGGUUGCUUUUCAUAUAUGGUUUUUAAUUAAAUUGAUGCUCUAAUGACAUGUUUGGAAGUGAUUUUGUUUUGUCAUGUUUAUAUUUAUGGUUUCACUAUUCAAUCUAGCGACUUAUCUUCUUAUGUUGGACAUUGGCGUGUAUAAUAACACAAUUUAUGUGUAUUUAGCACAAAAGUUUUUUGUGUUGGAGUGUUAGGACUCUUUUGCAGUUUUGGAUUCCUUCGAACACUUUUAAGCUAGGAUUCAAGUCAUCUUUUAUAAGUUUUAUAUGUUAAAACUUUGUUUAGAUCAAUCAAUUAAGACAUUGUCUAUUAAUUUAUAAACCUGGGAAAAUCUCUAUUUGUACUUUAAAACUAAUUAGGAGUCUUCAAGUUAAUUUUUAAGGUGACGUGAAGGUAAGAGUAUAUGCCCUUACCAUUAUUGUAUUAGUUUGAAACUAAGACAUUUUUAUUGUUCAAUUUAGAAAUGGAUUUUGGAGAAGUUUUUUUUCUAAUCUUUACAAGUUUUAUUGCUUUCAUGGUUGAAAUAUUUAUUGUUUUCUAUAGGGUUUGUCUCUAGGUUCUUGAUAGUGUCUUUUUUUAUUUAAUAAAAAAAUCAUGCCUUUUAAAAGUUUAUACAGUCGAUGACUUUUCACCAUAUCAAUUUGCCUUGACAUACGUUAACGAUGACAUAUGAUAAUCAUGUUUAUUCUACAUGACUUUGCCAAUGUAGGGUCAACCGAGAGGCCAACAAGUUAUGUGUUAGUACAUAAUAAGCCAAACAAAAUUGAGUUUGGAUCAAAUUUAAUAUUUAUAAUCUAUAGACUUCACUUCUUAGAGGUAAAGAAUUUUUGGACUUGCACCAUGUUUUUUUUUUUUUUUUUUUUGUCUAUAUCUUAGUUUUUCUAGUCUAUGUGAUAUUUAAUUCUUUUCAAUCUAUUCUUGAAAACUUCGGCCACAUUUGAUAAAUGAGUUUGAGGUGAAUUUGAUGAUUAUAAAUAUAUAUUCUUUUUGUAGGAGUCAAACAUACGAUAUUGAUUAGAUAGUUAGAUGUGAAGACGACAAGAUGCAUCAUGUUUGAAAAAUGAAGAUUAAAGGAUAUAUGUUUAUCUUAAGAAAACUAGAAAGCUAAGGUUACUUUGCUUUUUUUCAUUUCCUAUAAUGUAAUUUGAAAACCAUGAUGAUCCCAUAAAAAAUAUGCAUUUAUUUAUGUCUAUUGAAAUACUCUUAUAAUUGAUGAAAUAGCACAUUAUGAGUGAUGUAUACAUUUAGACUCUUGAAAAUUUAUUUUAAUAUAAAUCCACUUGAUUGUCUUAAAUGUUUAUAAAAUUGAAGUUAAUUUUACGUUUACAUUUGUGGCAAUUUGUUACUCAUAUAACAUGUUAUAUAAAUGUGAUAUGCACUUGAUUACAAUUGACUAUCACAACGAGAUUAAAGAUGUUAUAUGUUUUCAUAGCAUCUUUUACUACUAAGAAAUUGCUAUUAGAAGUUAAUUAUAACAUUUUUUUAAUGCUAUUAAAAGUAAAUCAUAGUAUUUUUAUAAUACUACAAAAUCUUUUCAUAACAUUAAAAUGAUGCAACCGAAAGUGAAAUUUUUAUAGCGUUUAUAGCAUUGAAAAAAAGCUAUAAAAAAUCAGGGACUUUCAAUAAUAUCAGCUACAGCAUACCUAAAAAUGAAAAUUUUUUAUAGCGUUUUUUAAUCGAUAUAAAAGAUCUUCUAUAACUUUUUGCUAAGGCUAUAAAAAGUUUUUAUAACAUUAAAUUCACGCUAUCGAAAAUUGAUUUUUUAUAGCGUUAUAAAAUGCUAUGGAAAGUUAAGGAUUUUUAAUAACAUGGGCUACGACAAUUUGAAGCUUUACCUUGUGGCCUUUCCUAAAGCACAGUGUUCACAAAAGGUUAGAUUUUCUUUAGAGAUCUUUAGGUAGAAUCCCUUGUUUAGAUAGGACUUCUAGGCCUUAAUCUCUAGUGCCAAACAUCAGCCUCUGUGAUCUCAUUUGUGGUGGCAACAUAUGUCUCUGUCAUUAUUUCAACUCAUUUGACCACAAAUAAGUCAUUUGUGGUGGCAACACAUGUCUCUGUCAUCAUUUCAACUCAUUUGACCACAAAUGAGUCAUUUAUCUUCUUUUUCUUGAGUUGUCACUGAGGCUGGGAGAGUUGAUGGGGCUGGGAGAGUUGAUGGGUCAAGAGAGCUCUGUGAGCCUUUUGUUGACUGAGAAUUGUUUUGAUUUUGACCUUUCAUACGCCAAAAUCUCCUUUGUCGUCGAACUUCUCUACUUUGAAUCUUGCUACUACAUCUUGGAGUGAAAAACUUGAAUCUUGAAUCUUCAAGAACUGCAAUCUUGAUAUUCUGUAUUAUGGAAGCACAAAUGAUGAAAUGCUGGCCCUUUUUGCUGAUCCAAAUCGUGAUCCACCAAGUUGUUUUGCCCCAAAUUAAAUUGGUUGGUAGAAAACUUGGUCCUCCUUGCUCCACAUCUUCCUGCGUGGAAUGAUCUGCCUGAUGGAAGGAAAACUUUCUGUUUUCGAUGGGAAUUUUUCAGAACAAUUAAUUUCUUUUUCUCUUUCGUUCUCUCUAUCGUUUUGCAGAAAUCUUUUGCUAACAUUUUCUUUCUUUCUGGUUCGAGGGAUUGUCGAGAGUAUGAAGAAGAAGAACAUGCAAUGUUGUAAAGAGAAAGAAGAGGAAGAGAUCUACAAGAUGAUAUACGUGGUUCGGUAAAAUAGUGUCCGUAGGAAGGAGAAGAGUUUUAUUCAAGAGCUAAGUUACAUUUUUUUUACAGAUCUUGUAGCUUUUUUGUAAGCUUCUAUAAAUUAUUUCUACAAACUAUAAAUGAUGCAUAUUUAUACAUCUUGUCUAGUUACAAAAACAAA